rnacentral:rRNA from 1 species
UACGUAGGGUGCGAGCGUUGUCCGGAAUUACUGGGCGUAAAGAGCUCGUAGGUGGUUUGUCACGUCGUCUGUGAAAUUCCCGGGCUUAACCUCGGGCGUGCAGGCGAUACGGGCAAUACUUGAGUGCUGUAGGGGAGACUGGAAUUCCUGGUGUAGCGGUGAAAUGCGCAGAUAUCAGGAGGAACACCAAUGGCGAAGGCAGGUCUCUGGGCAGUUACUGACGCUGAGGAGCGAAAGCAUGGGUAGCGAACAGGAUUAGAUA